AGCGGCGGAUGGGUGAGUAACACGUGGGGAACCUGCCCCUAAGUCUGGGAUACCAUUUGGAAACAGGUGCUAAUACCGGAUAAUAAAGCAGAUCGCAUGAUCAGCUUUUGAAAGGCGGCGUAAGCUGUCGCCAAGGGAUGGCCCCGCGGUGCAUUAGCUAGUUGGUAAGGUAACGGCUUACCAAGGCGACGAUGCAUAGCCGAGUUGAGAGACUGAUCGGCCACAUUGGGACUGAGACACGGCCCAAACUCCUACGGGAGCCAGCAGUAGGGAAUCUUCCACAAUGGACGCAAGUCUGAUGGAGCAACGCCGCGUGAGUGAAGAAGGUUUUCGGAUCGUAAAGCUCUGUUGUUGGUGAAGAAGGAUAGAGGUAGUAACUGGCCUUUAUUUGACGGUAAUCAACCAGAAAGUCACGGCUAACUACGUGCCAGCAGCCGCGGUAAUACGUAGGUGGCAAGCGUUGUCCGGAUUUAUUGGGCGUAAAGCGAGCGCAGGCGGAAAAAUAAGUCUAAUGUGAAAGCCCUCGGCUUAACCGAGGAACUGCAUCGGAAACUGUUUUUCUUGAGUGCAGAAGAGGAGAGUGGAACUCCAUGUGUAGCGGUGGAAUGCGUAGAUAUAUGGAAGAACACCAGUGGCGAAGGCGGCUCUCUGGUCUGCAACUGACGCUGAGGCUCGAAAGCAUGGGUAGCGAACAGGAUUAGAUACCCUGGUGGUCCAUGCCGUAAACGAUGAGUGCUAAGUGU
rnacentral:rRNA from 1 species